UACGGAGGGUGCAAGCGUUGUCCGGAUUUAUUGGGUUUAAAGGGUGCGUAGGCGGUUUGUUAAGUCUGGUUUGAAAGCGGGCGGCUCAACCGUCCGAUGUGGCUUGAAACUGGCGGACUUGAAUGGGGUGGCGGCUGCCGGAACGGGUCAUGUAGCGGUGAAAUGCUUAGAUAUGACCCAGAACCCCGAUUGCGAAGGCAGGCAGCUGGGACCGGAUUGACGCUGAGGCACGAAAGCAUGGGUAGCGAACAGG
rnacentral:rRNA from 1 species